UGUGUGUGUGUGUGUGUGUAUGUGUGAACGCCCGGGACGGCAGAACCAGAGCUACUGGUAAUUCUGCUUUCCUUCCCCCCCUCUCCCGGCUCCGCAGCCAGCCGCCGAGGUAGGACAGGUAGAGCCCCCUCCCCCUCGCAUGUGGGGCUCGCCGGGCAGAGAGCGGCCGGGCCGGGCGCGCACAGGUAACUUUCCGAGUGGCGCUGGAUUCUUUCACUAAAGGCGCGGGGCAGAGGGACGAGCCGCCAGCUGAUUGGGCGGCGCGGCCCGGCAGGUGCGCUGCCAUUGGAAGAGGCGCGCACAGAGGCCAUCACCUCUGACAGCUGGGAGACUCAACACAGCACCUAGGAUGAAGCUAUGGUGAGACUGAAUCGUGUUAUGGAGGCAGAAGUGUCGUCAGAUCAUGUCAUUCACUGUGACAGCGUGUAGGUACUGUGGCCUUCACCCCAAAGCACAUACAGUCCAAGCCAGAUUGCUUGUAAAGAGGAGGGUUGCAGUAAAUCAGGGGCAUCUGUGCUAUUUGGAAUGUUGUGAUUUAUAGCUGUAUUUUUUUCAAUAAAGCCAUUAUUUCUUUCAUUGCAUUUGGAUGUAGAAACAUACAAAACCCCACAGUAAGAGCAGGCUGCCCUUCCAUGGAUGCAGGGGAAUGUAUUUUUUGUGCAAUUAGCCAGGAGGAUCAAGCCUUAUGGUGAUGGGGCAGUUUGAUCUGAGCUGCUUUCUGUAGCUGGCCUAUUCAGAAAGCACUAAGCUUUGCCCAAGUCUUUACAGCCUCACUGGGCAACAGUAACAGGCUUCUGCCUAUGGCUGUGUGCAGAGACCCUCCUGUUCCAGAGGAGCUGAUCUUGUUAAUGCUCUACAGAGCAAGUCUGAGCAGGGUGAAUUGAAGAGGAAAUGCCAGUUCCAGCCCUCACAGAUGGCUCUGGGCUAUUUUGUACACGAACUUUUUCAUCCUCGGGAGGUUUUGCAUAUUAAUUCCUUCCAUCCACAAACUCCUUCUGGAUCAGCACUGUGCUGCCAAGAUCUUGGAAAGCCACCCGACUUGUGUGAUUUGGGAGAUGUGAGCUAUGCUGUGUUUAUUGGUCUGCCUGCUCUGCUCUCCUGUUCUGAUAAUCCUCUGGUCUCCUGCAGGUAUUAACACAUACAAGAAAGCUUCGUCACAAUAAACAAUAGCCAAACAUG